AUUGAACGCUGGCGGCAUGCCUUACACAUGCAAGUCGAACGGUAGCGCGGGCUUCGGCCUGGCGACGAGUGGCGAACGGGUGAGUAAUAUAUCGGAACGUGCCCUAGAGUGGGGGAUAACUAGUCGAAAGAUUAGCUAAUACCGCAUACGAUCUAAGGAUGAAAGUGGGGGAUCGCAAGACCUCAUGCUCAUGGAGCGGC
rnacentral:rRNA from 1 species